rnacentral:lncRNA from 1 species
GCCCCGGGGGUUUGCGGUUGUCGGGGGGGGGGGUGGGGGGGUGGUCAGCCUGCCGGUGGGAGGGAGAAGGGGGGAGGAGGGGGAAGGGUAAAGGGGAGGGGGGAGAAGGGAGGGGGAGAAAGGGAGGGGAGCAGGGGGGGAGGGGGGAGAAGGGAGAGGGAGGAAGGGAGGGGAGCAUGGGGGGAGGGGGGAGAAGGGAGGGGGAGGGGGGAGAAGGGAGGGGGAGGGGGAGGAAGGGAGGGGAGCAGGGAAGGAGGGGGGAGGGAGGGGGAGGAGGGAGGACGGGGGAGGGGUAAGGAGGAGGGGAAAGGAGGAGGGGGAGGGAGGGGGAGGAGGGAGGAAGAAGGAGGGAGGACGGGAAAGGGGGAGGAGGAGGGGGGAGGGGAAAGGAGGAGGGGGAGGGGAAAGGAGGAGGGGGAGGAAGGGGGAGCAGGGAAGGAGGGGGAGGAGGAGGGGGGAGGGAAGGGGGAGGGAGAGGGAGGGAAGGGAAGGGAAGGAGGGGGAAGAAAGGGAGGGGAGGAGGGAAGGAGGAGGGGGAGAGGAGGGGAGAGGAGGGGGAGAGGAGGGGGGAGGGGGCGGUGCCCAGCGGAAGUGGCGGCGGCGGCGCGCGCGAGGGCUUCCUUCGGGCCGGGCGUGGGCGGGCCGAGGCUGCGUGCGUGCGCGCGUCCGUCCGCCUGCGUGCGCGCGUCCGUGCGGGGGCGGGGCGGAGGGGCGCGCCCGCGGCCCAAGCCCAAGCCCAAGCCCAAGCCCCGACCCGACCCGCCCGGCGCACGGCACAGCAGCCGCGCCGCCGCCACGACGAGCCCUGUCCCCUGUCCCCUGUCCCCUGUCCCCUGUCCCCGCCGACGAGGAGGCGGAGGGGCCGGGCCGGGCCGGGCCCAGCCGAGCCGAGUCGAGUCGAGUCGAGUCGAGCCGAGCGAGGAGCGGCAGCGGGGGCAGGAAGCGGCGGCCGACACGGGGAGCGGCAGCAGGAGCGGCCGUAGCAGCGGGAGCAGCCGCCGCCGCUGCCGCCGCCGCCGCCGCCGCCUGGUUCCGGGCUCGGUCCCGGUCCGGUUGCGGCCAGGCUGA